rnacentral:rRNA from 1 species
CCUACGGGAGGCAGCAGUGGGGAAUAUUGGACAAUGGGGGGAACCCUGAUCCAGCCAUGCCGCGUGUGUGAAGAAGGCCUUAUGGUUGUAAAGCACUUUAAGCGAGGAGGAGGCUACUGAGACUAAUACUCUUGGAUAGUGGACGUUACUCGCAGAAUAAGCACCGGCUAAGCUCUGUGCCAGCAGCCGCGGUAAU